rnacentral:rRNA from 1 species
AGAGUUUGAUCCUGGCUCAGAACGAACGCUGGCGGCAGGCCUAACACAUGCAAGUCGAGCGGUAACAGGCGUAGCAAUACGUGCUGACGAGCGGCGAACGGGUGAGUAAUGCAUCGGAACGUGUCCUCUUGUGGGGGAUAACCAGUCGAAAGACUGGCUAAUACCGCAUGAGCUCGAGAGAGGAAAGCGGGGGACCGUAAGGCCUCGCGCGAUUGGAGCGGCCGAUAUCAGAUUAGGUAGUUGGUGGGGUAAAGGCCUACCAAGCCUGCGAUCUGUAGCUGGUCUGAGAGGACGGCCAGCCACACUGGCACUGACACACGGGCCAGACUCCUACGGGAGGCCGCAGUAGGGAAUCUUCCGCAAUGGGCGAAAGCCUGAUCCAGCCAUGCCGCGUGAGUGAUGAAGGCCCUAGGGUUGUAAAGCUCUUUCACCGAUGAAGAUAAUGACGGUAGUCGGAGAAGAAGCCCCGGCUAACUUCGUGCCAGCAGCCGCGGUAAUACGGAGGGGGCUAGCGUUGUUCGGAAUUACUGGGCGUAAAGCGUGCGCAGGCGGUUAUGCAAGACAGAUGUGAAAUCCCCGGGCUCAACCUGGGAAUUGCGCUUGUGACUGCAAGGCUGGAGUGCGGCAGAGGGGGAUGGAAUUCCGCGUGUAGCAGUGAAAUGCGUAGAUAUGCGGAGGAACACCGAUGGCGAAGGCAGCCCCCUGGGCCUGUACUGACGCUCAUGCACGAAAGCGUGGGGAGCAAACAGGAUUAGAUACCCUGGUAGUCCACGCCCUAAACGAUGUCAACUAGUUGUUCGUAGAGGUAACUCUGUGAGUAACGCAGCUAACGCGUGAAGUUGACCGCCUGGGGAGUACGGC